rnacentral:rRNA from 1 species
GAUGAACGCUGGCGGCGUGCCUAAUACAUGCAAGUCGAGCGAAGCGGGAACGGGUGAGUAACACGUGGAUAACCUCCUAUAUGACUGGGAUAAGUUCGGGAAACCGGAGCUAAACCGGAUACUGAUGGAUGGAUGUGCUCUGCAUGAGCUAGUUGGUAAGGUAACGGCUUACCAAGGCAACGAUGCAUAGCCGACGUGAGAGGGGGAUCGGGCACACCGGAAAUGAGACAAGGUCGAGACUGCGACGGGAGGCAGCAGAAGGGAAACUGCCGCAAAGGGCGAAAGGCGGACGGAGCAACGCCGCGGGAGUGAUGAAGGUGUUGGGAGCUUAAGACUUGUUUAUUAGUGAAGCGGUACCUAAUCAGAAAGCCACGGCUAACUACGUGCCAGCAGCCGCGGUAAUAC